AAGAAAGGUGCAUGGGAUAAAAUCUGAGUUUUAUUAAAGAAAAUCAUUCCAGACAUUGAGAUAUAAGGCUUGCCAGCUGAACAACUAGGUACCAUGCCAUAUAGCUUGGGACGCCAAGUUAUAAAGUUAUUAAGGUCCUAGAUAAUGAAAUCUCAAAUUGAUUUAUACCACUGGAACUAAAAUGAACUAUAUAUAUAUAUAUAUAUAAGUGUGUCGACACAUACAUUCAUAGAAAAUGCGCAAGUAUGUAGCACAUGAAUACAAAGAUAUGUAUCGAGGAUCAUAAACCCACACAAGAAUACUCAUAAUGAAUAAAGAAAGAAACGUGGGGUUUAAAGUGAUAUAUAAAAGGCGUAUUGUAUUGGCCAUGAAUAUGUAAACGCCAUAUGAUGCCCAGUGAAUAUAUAAAUCCUGAAAGAAGGAUAAAUCGUGAGACAGACCGGAAAAGGUCUAUAUAAUCUAAUGUGGUGGAUACUACUACAUAUUUCACUACAUAUGAUGUCUGGAAGAAAUUCAAAAGAUGUAGUAUGCUAUAUAUGACUCACUGGAUGAUGAUGAUAAUAUUAUUGGUACCAAAAGGUUUACCAAACGGUAUUGAGCUCAGAAUCAAAAGAUGAGAAAAGAAGUUCUCUUGAACAGCAUUUUCCUAAAGUUGUUCAUGGACUAAAUUAAAUUACUACAUGUAAGCAAGUGAAGAGUUCUAUAAGAACAAUUCAAAUCAGUCCAUAGAGGAAUUUUAAAUUCCUUGUGUUUUAUACUAACCAGCCUAAGAUAGGUUAAAUGGUUAUUCAUUAAACCUUAGAAAAGGUUAUAGACCAUCACCACAAAUUAGCCAAAUUUUGGUAAUACUUAUGGUUGGUCGAAUUCUCAGCAUGAACCAACCAAGAUGUGGUAUGAAUGAAUAAGCUAUCAUAAAGAUAAGCUAUAAGAUCGAAGUUCAUCUUUGAACAAAAGGUAUAGGACCACAUUAUGCGUCCAUAUGCGACCCAACGGGUCCGACCAUCAUAUAUGAAGAUAAUGCAGCUUGCAUUGCUCAACUCAAAGACGGGUAUAUCAAAGGUGACCGAACCAAACAUAUUAUACCCAAGUUCUUCUUUACCCAUGAGUUGCAGAAAGCUGGAGAGGUCAACGUCCUUCAGAUCCGGUCUAGUGAAAACUCAGCCGACCUCUUCACCAAAUCAUUGCCCUCUUGCACAUUUAGGAAGUUCAUGCAACAAGAUUGGCACGCGUAGACUCAAGGACCUUUUUCCUUUUUCUGGUUUCCCUUUUUACCACAUUGGGUUUUGGGUUUUCCGGGAGAGGUUUUAAUGAGGCAACAUUAACAUGUUACAAACCUUAUAUGGUUAUGGCAUCCAAGGGAGAGUGUUAUGAAUCAUGAAGUGAAUGGUCCAUAACCUAGACCAUACAAGUUCAAGACUAAAGUCCAUUGGAGGUUUACAUCCAGCCACAUGGAAGACCCAUUCAACCUUAGUUUUUAUGGGUUUGAUCAUGUCAUUAUGUAAAGUAUCUUUGUAAUCAAUUCUCCAUUUGACUCCACCUUGUAUGAACCACUAUAUAUAGUGGUGUAAGCAAUAAGAAAUAUACAACACAUUUUCACAAAAUCUUCUCUCAAAUCUUAACAAAAUAUACGUUUUUUUUUCCAAAUUAGAAAAUAUAUGUUAAAAACAUUAAAAAAAGGAACUGACGACAAAAAAAAAAAAUCAGAAAAGAAGAAAAGAGUUUGUGGUGUCUCUGGAACUCUCUCACAAGACAUCGACGAAACGGAAGCUGGAGCCUUCUCCGUUUAGGAGUCGCCGUCGUUCUUAUCCCACUCCGACAACAUCUCCUCCGUCACAGCCGCCGUAGAUUUCGACACCUCCUCGUCAAGUAGCCAUCGCCCCUGUUGUGUGAACCCUAGGUCUGAUUUGUCUUCCGUUUUAGAUCAACGAAAUUGAACUUUCAGGAUAACGUUUACACCGACGAUCCAGCACUGUAGUAUGGCAACUAUAAUUGGUCUGUGUUUGAGAACUAAGCUUAAAGAAUGCUUGCCCCUCCAUUAUAAUGUCAACUAUGAUUUUAAGUAAAAAGAUAGAUUUUUUUCAAUGGUCAUUUGCUAUAUAUGUAUGUUUGUCACUGUUUCCUUUUACUCAUGUUCAGGUUGAUAUCAGAGUGUCUCCCGGUUCUCAUGCCGAUGAACAGCUGAAUGAUAAAGAAAGACUUGGUAGUUGGUAGCUGCAUUGGAGAAUCCUAAUCUCUGUCUGCUUGUGGAUGAAUGUAUCUACUCCAAUAAGAUGUUCAGAGAAUUUUACUUUUACUCUCUUGUACAAAUUUUCUCAUUUGGGAUUGUAUUGUAUGCAUAGGAGACCGCUCUUUGUCUAUUUUUGUAUUGCUAAUAUUACUCUACACGCUUGAAUGUUGUAUACUACUUUGAUUUGAUAAUGUUACAAACCUUUCUUCA